rnacentral:lncRNA from 1 species
UUAGAUCUGCAAGUAUCAAUCGUAGUAGUUGUAUUAAAUAUUAAUAUUCCAAGUAGCUAGAUUGCCAAGUGAAAUGACGAAAGUACCCCAAAUUCCACUUAUAAAUAACCCACAGUUGUUUAAUUUCUGAAACAAUUCAUUUUCCCCUCUACACCAAUUCUCCGCCCCUGAGGGGGGCUUAGCUUUCUCUCUCUUCUCCCUUUGCGCCGAUCACUUUCUCUCUCUUCAAUCCUUCCAUAGCUAUAUACUUUUUCAAGGUCCUCUAAUGGCAGCAACUGCACCUUCAAACACAUCCACAUACCAGAAGGCCCCGUCGAGGAGGGGCCGUGUCAAAGCUCAAAUUUUUGGGAGCUUGGCCGGAAACCUCUACACCGCCGCCUCUAAAACCGCGGAGGCGCUCGGUAAAAUCAAAUUAGCCUCCGCCUCCACCUCCGCCGCCGCCGCCGUCGACGAAAUCUCCCCAUCCGCCAGCCCACCGCCGAGCGGACCGUUACCCUGAUCGAUCAGUCAGGCUUGGAACGAUCUGAUUGGAUGGAUAUGUUUCAUGAUCAGUGAAAUUGGGCAUGCUUUUUUUGUUGCCUUUUUCAUUUGUGUGUUCUGUAUAAUAUUAUUAUUAUUAAUUAAUUAAUUAAUUAAUAGUUUGAAUAAAAGAAAAAGGCAGUGUUGAAAUACAGUAACCGUAGUUGGGUUUUCGGGUCGGGUCGGGUCAGAGCUUUUGUUUUAUUAGUGUUGGCUCUGAAAGUAAUUUGGGUUUUUUAUUUUGUGUGGAAUUUAUAAUUUGUAUGGCCUCUUCUUCCUACAUAUAUCAUCUCUCAAAGUUUUUUAGAUUGGAGAUGGUAUUUUUGUGGGUUUCUCUUUCUUGUUUGUAUCUCUUGUAUAAUAAUACUAUUUAUUAAUAAAAAUCCAGUGUUCUCUCUCUCU